GACGAACGCUGGCGGCGUGCCUAAUACAUGCAAGUAGAACGCAGUUGCGAACGGGUGAGUAACGCGUAGGUAACUGCCUCAUAGCGGGGGAUAACUAUUGGAAACGAUAGCUAAUACCGCAUACUGUGAGAUGGACCUGCGUUGUAUUAGCUAGUUGGUGAGGUAAAGGCUCACCAAGGCGACGAGACAUAGCCGACCUGGGAGGGGGAGCGGCCACACUGGGACUGAGACACGGCCCAGACUGCUACGGGAGGCAGCAGUAGGGAAUCUGCGGCAAUUGGCGGAAGUCUGACCGAGCAACGGCGCGGGAGUGAAGAAGGUUUUCGGAUCGUAAAGCUUUGUUGUUAGAGAAGCGGUAACUAAACAGAAAGGGACGGCUAACUACGUGCCAGCAGCCGCGGUAAUUC
rnacentral:rRNA from 1 species